rnacentral:lncRNA from 1 species
CUAGUCUCUCAUAGAAACUUCUGGCCUCUGGACACUGUGGGAGCAACUUUUCCUUUAUUAGACUGUCUCCUCUUUAACUGUACCUAGAAGAUACUUUAGCACAGCAAGCAUCUCUUUUAUGCUUACAUUAUGCAGUUAUGCAGACUUGGUGAGAUAGACCAGUGCAAUGGACCUCAUAACCACAUACAAUCUAGUUUUAUGGGGAAACUCCUUGUAUAAAAGAAUAUUGCAGCAUGACUGGGAAGCCUGUCCUUCAUUACUUCAAUUGAAGAAGAAGAAUGGAGUCCAUCCGGUGGCUCCUGGCAGCAGCUGGAGUAGAGUUUGAGGAAGAACUUUUUGAAACCCAUGAAGAGUUUGAGAAGUUAAUCCAAGGUGGAACCCUGAUGUACGAGCAAGUGCCCAUGGUGGAAAUCGAUGGAAUGACUUUGGUGCAGACCAGUGCCAUCUUAAGAUAUGUAGCUGCAAAAUAUGACUUGUAUGGAAGGAACCUGGAGGAACAAGCCUGAAGAGAAGGAGAUGAACCUUGAAUACAUCCUCCACCGAGCUACAACAAGAUUCUUCCCCGUUUAUGAGAAGGCCCUGAGAGACCACGGGCAAGACUUUCUUGUGGGCAAUCGGCUGAGCUUGGCUGAUGUCCAGCUCCUUGAAGUCAUCUUAAUGGCUGAAGAAUGCAAAGCCAGUGUUCUCUCGGGUUUCCCUCUGCUACAGGACUUCAAGGUGAGAACCAGCCAAAUUCCUACAAUUAACAGCUUCCUCCAACCUGGAAGCCAGAGGAAGCCUCCUUUGGAGGAGCGAUCCAUUGGGACUGCAAAGGACAUAUUCAAAUUUGAAUGAGGACUGUUUCUUAAAAACAUGAGCAAUAUAGUAGCUGAGUAUUAACAGCUACAGAGGCUGGAGUUACUCAGUAAGUAUACUGAGUAACUUGACACUGCAUUCAUAAAAAGACACUCACUAAGUAUAUGGCCAGAGAAAUAUCCUGAAGUUAGUAAUAAAUGUUAGGAAUCUUAGUAUGUUAGCAAUGUUAGAAUGUUAGUAAUGGAAAUAUUAAAUGUGUAAGAGAAAAACUACUAGAAGCUUAUCAAUAAACUACAAGAACCAACUCUUGUUUGAAGUAAGACAGGCUACCAAGACAGAAUUCAGAAAAUCCAAGGAGCCCUCGGCCUUCUGUAUGAUCCUAGAAUAAACUUGUAUGUAGCAAGUGAAA